UCUGUUACCAGCCGUAGCAUGAUGAAGAGAUUAGCUGAGAUGGUUUUUGUUUUGUUUCUGGUCGUUCAGACUGGCGCGCUUUUUGUUCUCCCUGGUUUAACUCCAAACAUCACUUCGUGUUCAGUAUGUGAGUCAGGCGGAUUUUCUCCUCGCAACAACAUUUGUUGCGUUACAAGACAACGUUGUUGUACGCUUAUUCCUUUACUACCACUCCCUGGUGGUGGGCUGGGUCAUCAACAGCAACAGAAUGGGGCACAACUCUUCGGUUAAAUAUCAUUCCGAACAUUAUUUCAAAACUGGAAGAUAUUAACAGAAAAGUGGCAAAGAAACAAUAAUAUCUUCUAAAUUUUUCUUUUAGUUUGUGUAAUAAACUUAUCUUAUUGCUUCCCAACUGUAGAAUAUCGUUAUUUUGUGUAACAAACUUAUCUUAUCGUUUCCCAACUGUAGAAUAUCGUUAUUUUGUGUAACAAACUUAUCUUAUCGUUUCCCAACUGUAGAAUAUCGUUAUUUUGUGUAACAAACUUAUCUUAUUGUUUCCCAACUGUAGAAUAUCGUAUAUGAUUAUUUGACACGUAGAAGUUUGUGACCAUCCACUUUCAUAGAACUGUUGCAGCCAAUAAAUGAAAAUUUUGCCAAACA